GACGAACGCUGGCGGCGUGCCUAAUACAUGCAAGUUGAGCGCUGAAGGUUGGUACUUGUACCGACUGGAUGAGCAGCGAACGGGUGAGUAACGCGUGGGGAAUCUGCCUUUGAGCGGGGGACAACAUUUGGAAACGAAUGCUAAUACCGCAUAAAAACUUUAAACACAAGUUUUAAGUUUGAAAGAUGCAAUUGCAUCACUCAAAGAUGAUCCCGCGUUGUAUUAGCUAGUUGGUGAGGUAAAGGCCCACCAAGGCGAUGAUACAUAGCCGACCUGAGAGGGUGAUCGGCCACAUUGGGACUGAGAAACGGCCCAAACUCCUACGGGAGGCAGCAGUAGGGAAUCUUCGGCAAUGGACGAAAGUCUGACCGAGCAACGCCGCGUGAGUGAAGAAGGUUUUCGGAUCGUAAAACUCUGUUGGUAGAGAAGAACGUUGGUGAGAGUGGAAAGCUCAUCAAGUGACGGUAACUACCCAGAAAGGGACGGCUAACUACGUG
rnacentral:rRNA from 1 species